UUCAUCAUCGGUCCUAUCCUCUGGCUUUUCUCGUUGCUUUCCUUUGCUUGCCGUCAACCUGUGCCUCUUCGCCACUGUUGGAUUCUCCGCUGCUGUGGCUGGCCAAUGGAAAUGGUGAAGACGUUCGUCCUGCUGUCGUUGUUCUCUGCUGUUUCAGUUAAGCAGCCCGUUGGGUUGAAACUUCCCGUUUCUUCUUCAGUGUGGUUCUUGAGCUGAAGGGUGCUAGCUCCACUGCACUUCGGUAGAGGUUAUUGAGAGGCCCUUUUUCCUUUUGGAAAAAGAGGAGGCAUAUUGCAAUUAUUGUUUUGGUCAAACUAUGUGUUGUAUUUUGUAAUUAUAACUUAGUGCUCUAUGUACACUAUAAUUAGGUCCUAGUCUUAUUUUGUUAUCAUGUAAAUUGUUGGAAAGGAGCUAGUUUUCUUGCUAAUUUGUUUGGCAAGUUCUGUUGUU